AAAGCAGGGGAUCGCAAGACCUUGCGCUUUUGGAGUGGCCGAUGCCUGAUUAGCUAGUUGGUGGGGUAAGGGCCUACCAAGGCGACGAUCAGUAGUUGGUCUGAGAGGACGACCAGCCACACUGGGACUGAGACACGGCCCAGACUCCUACGGGAGGCAGCAGUGGGGAAUUUUGGACAAUGGGCGAAAGCCUGAUCCAGCAAUGCCGCGUGAGUGAAGAAGGCCUUCGGGUUGUAAAGCUCUUUCUGUCGAUAAGAAAAGGUUUCGACUAAUAAUCGCGACUCAUGACGGUAUCGACAGAACAAGCACCGGCUA
rnacentral:rRNA from 1 species